UACGUAGGUGGCAAGCGUUGUCCGGAUUUAUUGGGUUUAAAGGGUGCGUAGGCGGCUAUUUAAGUCAGCGGUGAAAGACUCCGGCUCAACCGGAGCAGUGCCAUUGAUACUGGAUAGCUUGAGUGUUGGAGGGGUACAUGGAAUUGAUGGUGUAGCGGUGAAAUGCAUAGAUACCAUCAGGAACACCGAUAGCGAAGGCAUUGUACUGGCCAACAACUGACGCUGAGGCACGAAAGCAUGGGGAGCGAACAGG
rnacentral:rRNA from 1 species